GCUUUGAUCCUGGCUCAGGAUGAACGCUAGCGCCAGGCUUAACACAUGCAAGUCGAGCCGUAGGGAAAGCUUGCUUUUCUGAUACCGGCGCACGGGUGCGUAACGCGUAUGCAAUCUACCAAUCACAAAGGGAUAGCCCAGAGAAAUUUGGAUUAAUACCUUAUAGUAUUAUAGAAUGGCAUCAUUUUAUAAUUAAAGAUUUAUCGGUGAAAGAUGAGCAUGCGUCCCAUUAGCUAUUCCUAUGGUAACGGCAUACCAAGGCUACGAUGGGUAGGGGUCCUGAGAGGGAGAUCCCCCACACUGGUACUGAGACACGGACCAGACUCCUGGCAGCAGUGACAGGAAUAUUGGACAAUGGGCGCAAGCCUGAUCCAGCCAUGCCGCGUGCAGGAUGACGGUCCUAUGGAUUGUAAACUGCUUUUAUACAGGACCAGACACCUCUACGUGUAGAGACUUGACGGUACUGUAAGAAUAAGGAUCGGCUAACUCCGUGCCAGCAGGGGCGGUAAUACGGAGGAUCCAAGCGUUAUCCGGAAUCAUUGGGUUUAAAGGGUCCGUAGGCGGUCAGAUAAGUCAGUGGUGAAAGCCCAUCGCUGGCGGUGGAACGGCCAUUGAUACUGUCUGACUUGAAUUAUUAGGAAGUAACUAGAAUAUGUAGUGUAGCGGUGAAAUGCAAAGAGAUUACAUGGAAUACCAAUUGCGAAGGCAGGUUACUACUAAUUGAUUGACGCUGAGGGACGAAAGCGUGGGUAGCCUUCAGGAUUAGAUACCCUGGUAGUCCACGCCGUAAACGAUGGAUACUAGCUGUUGGGAGCAAUCUCAGUGGCUAAAGUGAUAAGUAUCCCACCUGGGGAGUACGAACGCAAGUUUGAAACUCAAAGGAACAAACGGGGGCCCGCACAAGCGGUGGAGCAUCCAGUUUAAUUCGAUGAUACGCGAGGACCUUACCAAGGCUUAAAUGUAGUUUGACCGGUUGGAAACAGUCUAACGCAAGACAAAUUACAAGGUGCUGCAUGGUUGUCCAUCACCACGUGCCGUGAGGUGUCAGGUUAAGUCCUAUAACGAGCGCAACGGCUGUUGUUAGUUGCCAGCGAGUCAUGUCGGGAACCCUAACGAGACUGCCAGUGCAAACUGUGAGGUUGGUGGGGAUGACGUCAAAUCAUCGCGGCCCUUACGCCUUGGGCUACACACGUGCUACAAUGGCCGGUACAGAGAGCAGCCACUGGGCGACCACCAGCGAAUCUACAAAACCGGUCACAGUUCGGAUCGGAGUCUGCAACUCGACUCCGUGAAGCUGGAAUCGCUAGUAAUCGGAUAUCAGCCAUGAUCCGGUGAUACGUUCGGGGGCCUUGUACACACCGCCCGUCAAGCCAUGGAAGCUGGGGUGCCUGAAAUCGUCGGUGACCGCAAGGAGCUGCCUAGGGUAAAACUGGUAACUAGGGCUAAGUCUGCACAAGUAGCCGUACCGGAAGUGCGGCUGGAUCACCUCCUUAGAGACGAUCCUGGCAUCGA
rnacentral:rRNA from 1 species